rnacentral:rRNA from 1 species
UACAGAGGGUGCAAGCGUUAAUCGGAAUUACUGGGCGUAAAGCGUGCGUAGACGGUUACAUAAGUCGGGUGUGAAAGCCCCGGGCUCAACCUGGGAAUUGCAUUCGAGACUGCGUAGCUAGGGUGCGGAAGAGGGAAGCGGAAUUUCCGGUGUAGCGGUGAAAUGCGUAGAUAUCGGAAGGAACAUCAGUGGCGAAAGCGGCUUCCUGGACCAGCACCGACGUUCAGGCACGAAAGCGUGGGGAGCAAACAGG